UUGCGAUUUACAGGCUAAAUAUUCUGUGAAGGUCGGGCGUGCUGUUUAUAUUUAUCUGUCAGGGCCUAAUCCAUCAAUGGUCCAGGUUUGUUAACCUUUUUAAAAUUACAAGUUUAUAUAUUUUGCUAUGAACUUAUCUCAGUAAUGAUUGCAAUAGUAACAACGGAAGAUAGCCCUUAUUCACUAACUGUUGAAAUCUUGGUUGCUGGGCACUACUAUCAUGAAUGAAUUGUAGCAUCCUUGACCUCUGCAACAACUCUCUCAAUAAUAGAGAAGAACAGUGGUUGGUAUUUUUUGCCUUGCAUGACAUUGCUGAUUCCAGAUCGUUUCUUCAUCAUGGUCUUCACCUUAGUUUGUUGUUAAGAGGUCUUCUCUUCUAUUUUCUCAACUCUCUUAUAUUUUCUUGCUGCUUUUGCAGCGUGCUUUUCAAAUCUUUCUUCUGCAGUUCUAAAGCUUCUUUUUCUUUUGUUAUCCUUUUUCCGUGACCCAAUCUUUAAUUUUCUUACCCUUACUUUUUUUUUCUCCCUAUCAUUCACUUUCCUUAGGUUCCAUGAAUUUUAUGCCUUUUUGUGUUUGAUCAAAUACCUUUCUUGUUUUUCCCUUUUUUUUCUCCCCUGAACAGUUUGGCAUGCUUGCUUAUGGUUUUACCUUUUGUUGGAUUUGCAUUAGGACCCACUUUUUGUUUAGGAAGAAACAUGGGCCUCUUGGUCCCUCCAGUUCGAAGGCCAGUUUCCCCUACUCUGCACUACCGCAUCAGUUCAGGUCUUUUUCCCAUACACUUCUUCAUUUUUGCGUGCACGAAAUGCUUUGGAUUGUAGAUAUAUAGCUUUGCGAAUUAGCUGAGGCAUUAUGGUUCCUUAAUUGUAGUGAUAAAAGAUUUGAGGUGAGGUUAGAAGGUGAUUAUAUAGAAUCAGAGUAUGGCUCCAUCAUUUUGCACGGGUGGGAAGUUAUAAUUACCUGGUGUCAAAUUCUGUCCAACAAGGUGAUGAUGCAGAUGAAGUACUUUUCAGGCGCAUCGUAUCUCUUCAAUUUUUCUUCUUUUCUAUAUCAAUGGAUCAUACUUCAAAUUAAAUUAAUGACAUGGGUAUCGAGUGAUGUUAGUGCUUUCUCCUUUUGACAUUGUUCUGUGGUGUUUCAAGUUAGAAUUCUUAACAGGUUAAGUUUCUUUUUGCCACUCAAACCAUGCAUAAAGCCCUGAUGAUUUCCGAACGAUCACACACACAAAGUUUUGGAAAAACCAAGUGCAUCCUUCGACUUUCCAGCAUUUGCAAGCUGCUAAUGUAGAUAGACAACACAACAGUGAGGAGGCGUAGUGAGUUGGUGCAAAAGUAAGCGAGUUCUUUAGAAAACACUUGGGAGUUCAGAUCUCAGCUGUUACAUCCUCCAGUUCGCUGCAUAACUCCAUUUCGUGUAUGAUUAUAGCUAUUCUCUGAAUGAUUUUAAGUUUCUUUUUUGAUAUAGAUGCGGUGGAGAUUCUUCUAAAUAAAUAGUGUGAUGUGACCAUAAUAUUCCUGCGAGAUAAUAUACCUGUCCUUUUAUUUUCUGAAAAAGAAUUCUAGUAUUACUUUAUAA